GGCCCUGUAGCAGAAUGGCAUAUGCGGUUCCCUCAAAAGGAAUGUCAAUGUGGGUUCGAGUCCCAUCAGGGCUAC
rnacentral:tRNA from 1 species